CCACUUAUUUAUUGAGGUAUGACUAGAAGAAUCCGAGGUACCGAAUUUAUUUAUUCGGCACACCCAACAUGUGUUUGUGAUAAUGCCUUAGAAUAGGCAUGCCAAAGUGUUACGGCAUCUCUUUGAUUCACAAGAUUGUGGAAAUACAUGGACAAGAAGGAGACCAGGCGGUGUGAGCUCCUGAUGUGGACGAAGGCCUCAGCUCCUCUCUGGUUGAAGACGAAGGCCUCUGCUCCCUGUACUGGCCACCAAAAUCACAACGAAGCAUCUGCUCUCCCCCUCUUCCGUGCUCCAGAUCUAAAUCUGGCAUAAGGACUAGAACAAUUUCGUGGUUGCUUUGGGAAGUCUGUAACAGAGUAAUUUUGAUGCGCUAAAGAGAGAAGACUAAUCUUUGUCUCAGAAAAAUAAUAAUCUCAGUCCAGUCUCUGAAGGUGUUUGUGUUGAGUGUCAAGAAGUAUUUUUUUUUGUUGGUCAUUAACAGCCAAUCAGCUGUUGGGUUCAGCAUUUUGUGCCUUCUGCGUCCUGGAAAUGUCCAGACAGUGUCAGGUGUUGUGUUCUUCCUUCUGUUGUUUUUGCCAACAGCCUGUGCUUGAUUCUUGGCUGGGAAGAAGGAUCGGGUCUUCUUGUUUUGUUGAAGAUGCUGUCCUGCUAUCUGAAAUCUCCCGAAAGUACUCUUUUUUCUCCUCUAUUGUACAGAGAGUUUUCUGAGAUUAUAACAGUGCACAGCUGAACAUUUGAAUUUGUUUGAAGCUAUGUUGGAGCCAUGCUUGACAAAAUAGAGUUUUGUGACAAUACCUAAUACUAGUAUAUAUCAUUGCUA